UACAGAGGGUGCAAGCGUUGUUCGGAAUUAUUGGGCGUAAAGGGCGCGUAGGCGGUGCCACAAGUCACCUGUGAAAUCUCCGGGCUUAACUCGGAGCCUGCAGGCGAAACUGUGGUGCUGGAGUGUGGGAGAGGUGCGUGGAAUUCCCGGUGUAGCGGUGAAAUGCGUAGAUAUCGGAAGGAACACCUGUGGCGAAAGCGGCUCACUGGACCAUUACUGACACUGAGGUACGAAAGCUAGGGGAGCAAACAGG
rnacentral:rRNA from 1 species